rnacentral:pre_miRNA from 1 species
AAUACCUACAUUUACGUUGUUUAGGUUCAAGUUUAACCGUACAUCUUAUUUAAAAUUUUUUUUUAUACUUAGUAGUUUUAUUGUUAGUAGAUGAUAAAACAUAAAUAAUAAUUUAUGUGUAUUUUUAAUUUUUUUCAUAAUCUUUUAAAUAAGACCAACGGUCAAACAUUAGACAUGAAAAUUUACAAAUACAGUUAAA